UAGUAUAAGCAUUAUACCGUGAAACUGCGAAUGGCUCAUUAAAUCAGUUAUCGUUUAUUUGAUAGUACCUUACUACUUGGAUAACCGUGGUAAUUCUAGAGCUAAUACAUGCUGAAAACCCCAACUUCGGGAGGGGUGUAUUUAUUAGAUAAAAAACCAACGCCCUUCGGGGCUUCUUGGUGAUUCAUGAUAACUUCACGGAUCGCAUGGCCUUGCGCCGGCGACGGUUCAUUCAAAUUUCUGCCCUAUCAACUUUCGAUGGUAAGGUAUUGGCUUACCAUGGUUUCAACGGGUAACGGGGAAUUAGGGUUCGAUUCCGGAGAGGGAGCCUGAGAAACGGCUACCACAUCCAAGGAAGGCAGCAGGCGCGCAAAUUACCCAAUCCCGACACGGGGAGGUAGUGACAAUAAAUACUGAUACAGGGCUCUUUUGGGUCUUGUAAUUGGAAUGAGUACAAUUUAAACCUCUUAACGAGGAACAAUUGGAGGGCAAGUCUGGUGCCAGCAGCCGCGGUAAUUCCAGCUCCAAUAGCGUAUAUUAAAGUUGUUGCAGUUAAAAAGCUCGUAGUUGAAACUUGGGCCUGGCUGGCAGGUCCGCCUCACCGCGUGUACUUGUCCGGCCGGGCCUUUCCUUCUGGAGAACCCCAUGCCCUUCACUGGGUGUGUUGGGGAACCAGGACUUUUACUUUGAAAAAAUUAGAGUGUUCAAAGCAGGCCUUUGCUCGAAUACGUUAGCAU
rnacentral:rRNA from 1 species